UACAUCCAAGGAGCUAUGGAGGAAGAAGCAGUCCAUUGUGAUGGGCUUUUUUUCUGAGGGUUUGCUGCUGGGGAUACCGCCAGCUCUCUGCCCUGCACAGGGAUCCCCGCCCCGCCCAGUCUGAUAAAGCAUAAACAGGAUAAGCAAGUUUAUGUCAUUUGCAGUUUUUGUGUCUACCGUGGUGGUUGCAAACUCUGGGUUGCUAAGGGUGCAAAUUAUGGCAAGCCUGUCCACCAUGAUGUUAAACAGCUAAAAU
rnacentral:lncRNA from 1 species